rnacentral:rRNA from 1 species
CACGUAGGGUGCGAGCGUUUGUCCGGAAUUAUUGGGCGUAAAGAGCUCGUAGGCGGUGUGUCGCGUCGGCCGUGAAAACCUGCAGCUUAACUGUGGGCUUGCGGUCGAUACGGGCAUCACUGGAGUUCGGCAGGGGAGACUGGAAUUCCUGGUGUAGCGGUGAAAUGCGCAGAUAUCAGGAGGAACACCGGUGGCGAAGGCGGGGUCUCUGGGCCAUUACUGACGCUGGAGGA